UUCUGGUUGAUCCUGCCGGACCUGAUUGCUAUCGGAUUGAUACUAAGCCAUGCGAGUCUUUGCAGUAAUGCAAGGCGGACUGCUCAGUAACACGUAGUCAACUUAACCUAUGGAUGGGUAUAACCUCGGGAAACUGAGAAUAAUUCCCAAUAGAUCAUUUAUCCUGGAAUGGUUAGUGAUUGAAAUGAUUCGUCGCCAUAGGAUAGGACUGCGGCCUAUCAGCUUGUUGGUGAGGUAAAGGCCCACCAAGGCUAUUACAGGUACGGGCUCUGAGAGAAGAAGCCCGGAGAUGGGUGCUGAGACACGGACCCAGGCCCUAUGGGGCGCAGCAGGCGAGAAAACUUUGCAAUGUGCGAAAGCACGACAAGGUUAAUCCGAGUGAUUUCUGCUAAAGAAAUCUUUUGCCAGUUCUAAAAAUACUGGUGAAUAAGGGGUGGGCAAGUUCUGGUGCCAGCAGCCGCGGUAAU
rnacentral:rRNA from 1 species